rnacentral:rRNA from 1 species
AUGACACCUGUUUCACGACCACCGAGCACUGACCUUCAGCUAGUGUCGAAGCUUAUUGAUUCUCAUAACUGGUCGUGGAGGCAGGAUUUGGUCAGAGAAAAUUUCAUUGCUUCUGAUGCUGCGGCCAUUCUUAACAUUCUUAUCCGGUCGGGCGGUGGCAAUGAUUUUCUUGCUUGGGCAUUCGAAAAAUUAGGCAACUACACUGUCAAAACAGCGUACCGAUCUCUUGUGACUCAGAACGAGCGUUUGGCUCUAGAGGAAGGGACGGCUACAGAAACCUCAUUGAAUGAUCAACAGUUGUGGAAAGCCCUGUGGAAGUUGAAUGUUAUCCCAAAAGUUAGAGUGUUU